GAUGGUGAUGCAUUCUAUUGCUCUAGAAAUAGAACAUCCUACAGAUGAACAAAACCAGCACCUUUGGGCUGGGCUUGAAAACUACAUAAAAAAAAGUGCAGCAAGUGUAUCUCUAAAAAUAUUUGUAUGAGGUCAAGUUGUGGAGUACAUCCUAGCACUCUUGGACUAAAAGAGCAUUCAGAUUAAUGGGAAAAUCUCCUUUGAGUAACAGGCAAGACUUGGGAGCUAGUUAUCAAGAACUGUGCAAUAAAGUUGCAGAUCACAUCAGAUUGCUAUUCCAUACAACAUACAGAUAAUUGGACCCGUUAUCUACUUGGAACAGUCAAAUUAUAGAAGCUAUUGGAAUAGAUCAAAUAGUGGAGCAUACAGAUGGAGUAACAGGCAAGAAGUAGCGAUAUCAUGCUCAUUGAGAAUGCUUUUCUUUUCAAUAACAUUUGAAGAAUAACAAUUUCAUUCAGUCCCAUAACAUUUUUUUUAAGCUAGAACAAUUUAGAAGUAAUCAACAAGCUUAGUAAAAAUGUCAUUAUUUUCAGCAAGAUUGAAACAUAUCUUUGGUUAGACUGCCUAAUGUUUUAUCCAUUUAUCAUUUGAAUCAUAAUCACAUUUUGAAUUUUGCAGUUCAGGUGUCUGAGUACAUUCUAGCACUAUCAAGCAGCAUACAGACGAAUAAAACCAUCAUCUACCUGGAGCAGGCAAAAUAAAUAAAAAUAACAUGUUAAGAAUCGCAGCAAAGAUGUCCAAAAGAUUUUCUUCCUUAA